UUGACGCUGAAGUGAGAGAGGAAGAACUAUACCUGAUUGAUCUUACAAACUUGGAAAAUGAGAAAAGAAGGAAAUAGUGCAAGAUCCUGAAGCAAUCAGCUUUUCACAAACGCUUUUUGGGCUGGAGCCCCUUAACGGAGCGGUCGCCUUCAACAGCCGACAGAGAGAAUCUUCACGAUGGGCACCGAGAGAGUCUUCCAUCAAGACACAAAGAGGAGGCUUUUAUCCCGACAAACACCUCAGACAUCGUAUCCUUGCUCCAAGACCCCAUCGUAGCAAACGACGCUGAAUGCCCUACAUGCAACCGCUGCGCUAUAGGAGGAGGCGGAGGAGGGGGAUUCAACGCGAUCGGAGGAGAGAGAGGAUCAAACUUCAAUACCUGAUACUGGCUCAGACCUUUAAGAUGAUGGCUGACAUUGUUUGAUAUCAAAAAUGGAAGGUGAAAGGUCCGUAGUUCCGCCCGAAUUAGAGGAUGUUGUCGUAGGAAUAUAAAAUGAAAAUGUUCCUAAUCAUCAUUUAGAAUCAAAUAACCAGACAGAAGGUGAAUCAGACUAUGACGCAAACAAGCACGCACACACACAGACACACCAGGGCGAGAGGAGCCCACAGCCGCAGGGAGAGCAGCAGCCGACUCUUGACCAUUCAAAUUUAAAUGAGAUGCAGCAACCGAGAAGUGGGGCUAUAACCGUCUUGAGGCACGAUGGGUUCAACAAUGUGGAAUUAAAAUGCAUUCUAACUUUUCCUCAAACCGACGGUGUAACAGAUUAUGCCACAUUUUACCGUCGGGUUUUGGGGAGCCUUAAAAACAUGACGGAAAGGGUAACUGAGGAGGCUAGACCCAACGAUAAUGUUCAAUUAGAGUUAAUCGGUGACAGCGCGCAACAACACACUCAUUUUACUUUUCAAAACGAGGCCGCGCGUGUGAUGAAUGCUUUUCACGAUGUGCUAGACCUGAUGGUACAAUCAAAUGCAGUAAUUAUGAACGACGAUGAAAUACAGGUAGUGGUUCAAGUGAUACAUAACCCUAGCGGGGGUGUUAGAAGAAAAGCGGUAACCCUUUUGGAACAUGAACUCUACAGAGUUGAAAGCUAGCUAUCUGUAUAAACCAUACAACUUGAAUAAUCAACUCUGUUUUGCCAUCAGCCUAGCACACCUGAUCCAUCCUGAAUUUACAGAUAGCCCGGCUGUGCUGGAGGCUGAACAAAUACAGAAAAAAGCGGGCUUAGACAAUUAGACCCCCGUCACUUUCAGUCAUAUUCAUGCGUUUGAAAAAGUCGUGCGACGUAAAUUGUCAUACUGUACAGAGAAGAGGAUCAACGUCUCUUCUCACAAUUCGAGACAGAUUCCCCCAAAUCAGAUAAUCCGUUGUAUCUGUAUUUAUCUCAGAAUCAUUACAUCGGCAUCAUCAACAUUAAAGGAUUUUUGUCAAAACCGUACGUUUGCCACUACUGCUACAGAGGUUACGAAAAACCCAACAGACAAAUGCGGCGGCCAUUGCGUGGUCUGUACAGAUCCCGACUGUGUAAAAAUAACGACAAAAUCAGUCUUAUGCCAGGAUUGCAAGAUGUGGUGUCGUUCACCCACUUGUCUACUCAAACAUAGGGAAAAACAUCCGGUAAUGGGUAAACUCUUCAGCAUUUGCGAUCGGCGGAAAAAAUGCCUAGAAUGCAAGCUUUUUUACGAUAUACCUGUGGCUACAGGUAUCGCUAAUCACAAAUGCUCCAAGUUAAAAUGUCAAAUAUGUAAAGUGGCGUUACCCACCUGCGACACAGAGGCAGCAGGAACAGGACAUCUUUGCUAAAUACAAAAACUACCGUGCGAUGUAGAGCCCAGUGAUAAAAUCAUAUUCUAUGAUUUUGAGACGUUCGUCGAUGACAAUCACAUUUACAUCCCAUUUCUAGUCUGUACAAAGACGUUGCAAGGAGAAGAGUGGUGUGCUUUUGAUCUGGACUGUGUUACCGUUUUCCUCACACAUUUUAGGAAGGCUUGUUAUCAUAAAUCUACAUUUAUAGCCCACAAUUCGAGAGGAUUUGGCGGUUAUUUGAUUCUGAGAGGUAUGGUACAGUUGGGCAUAAGACCCUCUAUCAUCAUGCAGGGGAGUAAAGUUCUUUGUUUUGAAGACCGUGAUUUUUGGUUAAAAUACAUUGACUCACUUUCCUUCCUUACCAUGCCACUCAGCGUGAUGCCUAAAGCGUUGGGACUCAACGAUUGCUGGUCCAAGGGGUAUUUUCCUCACAAAUUUAGUUCGGAGGGCCAUUUAAUCUAUGUAGGAAAAUUCCUCCCGAUCAGAAAUUACGGUGUAGAAUGCAUGAAGGCCAAUGAGCGGGACAAGUUUGAGACGUGGUAUCGUAGAGAGCCUAGAGGUCUUUGAUUUCCGAAAACAAGCGGUACAUUACUGCAAAAACGACGUUGACAUUCUCCGCGCAGGAUGCAUCAAAUUUAGAGCAGAGUUUAUGAAUGAGACAGGUGUUGAUCCUUUCACCUGUAUCACCAUAACCUUAGCCUGCAUGAAGGUGUUUGUGACUAAUUUCCUCGAGCCAGGCUCUCUAGCUAUACCUUCCCCGGAUGACUACCGAGGGGCGUGUAAAAAUGUCUCCCACGCCAGCAUCCAAUGGUUAGAAUGGGAGUCGCAUCGUCGUGGAAUUUUCAUACAACACACUUUAAACAAAGGAGAAAAACAGAUGGGUCAUACUUUGUAGACAGAUUUGCUUUAAUCGGCGACAAACCGUUCGUAUGGGAAUUUCAGGGGUGUUUUUAUCACGGAUCCCCGACGUGUUUCGACCCCGGCGUCGUAUGUCCUUUGACAAACACUCCUUACGAAGAGUUGCACAGGGCUACCGAUGAAAAAAUUGAGGCGUUAAAGCGCGACCACAAGGCCAACACGAUCGUCAUAAGAGAGCACAAGUGGAAUGAGAUGAAAAAAUCAAACGCCGGGGUAAUAGACUUUCUCAAAACUAGCAAUUACCCUGAACCUCUUACCCAACAAGACUCUCUUUUUGGGGGUAGGACGAGCGCCUUCGUCUUGAGGCACACAGCGGGUGAGAAGCAACGUGUGUUGUAUGAGGAUGUCAACUCUCUCUCUACCCGUACGUCAACAGCUCAUCUCCUUACCCGCUGGGUCACCCCGUCAUCAUCCACACGGAUUUUGACGACGUUCAAAACUAUUUCGGUCUGGUCAGGGCCGUCGUUCACCCUCCUCGAGGUCUCUAUUUCCCUGCGUUGCCCUAUAGAACGGCCAAGGGUAAAGUAGUGUUUACCCUUUUGCCGCACAUGUGCAGAAAACAAUAACCAGCAGGCACCUUGCGAGCAUGAUGAGGAAGGUAGGGCGCUGAUGGGAGUCUGAGUCACGGUCAAAUUCAACAAAGCUCUGCGGCUGGGGUACUGAGUCGGUAAGAUUACGGAGGUGUGGCACUUUGAAAAGCAGAGCGAUACCGUCUUUACGGGUUACGUUCAAACUUUUCUAAAGGGGAAGCAAGAAGCUUCAGGCUAUCCUAAAGAAGCCGUCGAUGCAGAAAGCUGGGAAAAGUACAUUUGUGAAUAUCGUGAACAUUAGGGAAUACAGCUGGAUGCUAAAAAAAAUCGAGGUCAACCCCGCCAAGAGACAAGUGUCAAAAGUCUGUUUAAACAGCUUCUGGGGAAAGUUUGUGGAAAAGCUCAAUAGAACUCAGACCACCUUGGUGAAAAAAAAAGUGAAGAAUUUUUCAACUUUGUAUUUUCAGGAAAAUUCCAGCUUGAAUAUUUAUAUUUCUCCUUUCUCAGCGAUCAGAUUGCUAUGGUACAGUGGAGAUACAGCAAAAACAGCGUGGUGCUUCCAGGUAUCACAAAUAAUGUAUUUAUCGCCACUUUCACCACCGCUUAUGCCCGCUUGAAAAUGUACAGCUACCUAGAGGGGCUGCAAGAGAGAGUUCUUUACACAGACACCGAUAGUUUAAUCUACACGGUGAACGAGGGGGAAGCUCCUCUGGAGACGGGGUCCUAUCUAGGGGAGUUGACGGAUGAGUUGGGGGGAGACAGCAUUCAAGAAUUUGCCUCCGCCGGUCCAAAGAGUUAUGCCUACCAAACCCGUAAGGGUAAAUAAAUGUUGCUGCGUGCCAAGGGAAUCACUCAAACCCGCGAGUGUUGUGAGAGGGUCAACUUUGACAGCAUCAAAGAUUUGGUAGAGGGAUAUCUACAGGGAGAGAAAACGGGUGAGAUAUACACGCCUCAUCAGCAAAUUGUUCGUGAUAAAAAGGGCUUCCUUUUAAAAAACUCUUCAUUUGAAAAGAAGUUUAGAGUAGUGUUUGACAAAAGACAUCUCUUUCCCGACGGGAAAACUUUAAAAACGGCUUCCUUUUAAAAAACUCUUCAUUCGAAAAGAAGUUUAGAGUAGUGUAUGACAAAAGACGUCUCUUUCCCGACAGAAAAACUUUACCUUUUGGGUAUUAGAGAGAGAAAAUGGAAAAAAAUGGAACGAGUAGCAACUUGAGGGUUGCAGGUUCGAUCCCCGCUUCCGCCAUCCUAGUCACUGCCGUUGUGUCCUUGGGCAAGACCCUUUACCCACCUGCUACCAGUGCCACCCACACUGGUUUAAAUGUAACUUAGAUAUUGGGUUUCACAAUGUAAAGUGCUUUGAGUCACUUGAGAAAAAGCGCUAUAUAAAUGUAAUUCACUUCACUUCACUUUGAUCCUAGAUUUUAUACACCUUUUUCAUGCCUGAUUGUAGGACCUAACGGGUGUGGAAAGACUUUUUUUUGUAAAAUGUAUAUUGGAAAAUUGUGAACACGUCAUGAAUUCUGUACCCAACAACAUUGUGUGGAUUUAUACAUCCUUUCAACCCAUGUAUGCAGAACUAAAAAAGAUGAAUAAAAAAAUAAAAUUUGCUAAA